rnacentral:rRNA from 1 species
UACGAGGGGGGCGAGCGUUUGUUCGGAAUUAUUGGGCGUAAAGGGUGCGUAGGCGGUUUGGUAAGUCUUGUGUGAAAUCUCCAGGCUCAACUUGGAGUCUGCACGAGAAACUGCCGGGCUUGAGUGUGGGAGAGGUGAGUGGAAUUCCUGGUGUAGCGGUGAAAUGCGUAGAUAUCAGGAGGAACACCUGUGGCGAAAGCGGCUCACUGGACCACAACUGACGCUGAUGCACGAAAGCUAGGGGAGCAAACAGG